ACACGUGAGGGUGAUCUGGCUGGGACAUCCGUCACCCCAUUGAUAUACAGGGUUGAUUCGUCUGAUCUGGCUGGCUAGGCUGGUGUCCCCUUCCUCCCUCACCACUCCGUGUGUGCCUCCCGAAGCUGUGGCGCUUGGUGGAAGAGGUCACCUUCUGGUCUUCCAUAGAGGGUGUAGGAGUAGCCGCGCUCCCUUCUAGAACCUCCAAACAAGCUCUCAAGUUCCUAGACUUUACUUGUCUUAAACAGUGUAUGCACAGCUGUGAUCAAAGAGGAUAUUAAUUUAAAUAUUCAC
ensembl:misc_RNA 7SK 7SK RNA